rnacentral:rRNA from 14 species
CGAAAUGCAUUUAGGUGCAGCGUCGUGUGUUCAGUCAUGGGGGUAGAGCACUGAAUGGGUUAGGGGGCCUACAAGCUUACCGACCCCAAUCAAACUCCGAAUACCAUGACUCCAGAGCACGGCAGUGAGACCGCGGGGGAUGAGCUUCGCGGUCGAGAGGGAAACAGCCCAGAUCAUCGGCUAAGGCCCCUAAGCGUGU